AGGCCUGGCUACGCCGACCGGCACCUGAACUCCCUGCACGCGUUGCAUGCCUCCCACAGAGAUGGGACUGCUUAGUAAGACCUUGCUCAGCAGUAGUCCUGUUUUAUAGCUGAUAAAAAGGAGGUGGUGUGACUCUGGUGACACACAGUGAGGAAAUGACAGAGCUGGAGUUUCCGUCUGUUCCACAUUGCUGCAUUUGUUCUGCCUGACUUGGACCCUGGAAAACCUGGCCCUCUUCAAUUUCUGACAAAAGGUAAAAUGUGCAAACUUUGUGAACCAGGAAUUUAUCCUGCAAAAAGGUAAAUGGACAGAGAUGCUCGUUGCAUCCCUAUUUGUAAUAAUAAGAGAUUGGGAAAACUCAAAUGUUCAUCAAAGGAGAAUUGCUUCAACAAUUUUAUGUUGUAAUCCAUGUGAUAGAAUACUGAUAUAUUUUUUAAAAAAGAGGUUAGCUCCACAGAAGUGACAGGAAACUGUCCACAAUGUGUCCUGAGGCCAAAACAAGUUGCAGAACAGUAUGUAAACAGUUUGUAACUUUUUUGUAACUACAUAGGUAAAAAUACUUUUGGCUUUACUUCUUUGUCUGCUUAGACUCCCAGAUUCUCUGAUGAUACCACUCUGGUGCUUGUCCUAAUGGGAAAGUUUCCUGAAAUCCUGCGAUGAGUUUGACAGUUUCAAAAUUCCUUCAAACAUACAGUGAAUGACAGACAA
rnacentral:lncRNA from 1 species